CACAAUUAUGUAUGCAUAUACAAAAAAAGACCCUAACCAUCAAAGAAAUGUUAGAAAGUCUAGAAAACUUACUGUAAUGGAGCAGAACCUGUGGCCUUCACUCCUGUGGAGCUAAGUGCUUUGAUUUUGAAGAAUUUUGGUAACCAAGUUCCGGUCCUCAUUACGAAUUCAUGUUUUUUUAUGUUCCUCCAAAGAAAAAAAGAAAUACGUGUUUGGAACAAUGUGAGGUCGAAAUGAGCUUCACACACGCCGAACAGCUGCAGACGAGACUCGACGCCAUCCAGAAUGCAGCUCCCUCGUGAUGUAACAGAUGCAAAACAAAGCAAAAAUGAUUUGGCUGAGCCACGGGAGACCCAGACUGGCCCUCCGGGGCUUUUGUGGGCAGAUUGCGAGAUAACACAGUACAACUUUUCAGACAGUACUUCACGAGGAUCUGCCUGUCCAAUCAUAAACAGCAGUCCAUCAAAACUAACAAGGCGUGUUUUCAUCAUUCUAGACUGGUGGUGCUCAACCAAAGGGCUGGAGCCCAUUGCAUGGAAAAUCACAUGGGAAUGGUCAGAUGUUCUUAUUCUACUGCUUCAGCAUCCAGUGGUUGCAUGCGGUCACAUGUUGGGUUCAACCGCACACGCUCCGGAGCAGCUGUCUUACACGCGCUCUGCGGCUCUGCUCCUGACAAACGCUCAGUGACCAUUGAUACAGUGAAUGUUCAAGUAUCUGUGGCAUGCAGCCUGCCCUCGACCCCUCAGGCACGAGCGCACACACUUUACAAUGAAUGGGUGCCGUCAGGAUGAGAGCCCAAACAGCUGUUAAAAACACCACGAUAAUCCACGCAACUCAAGUCUAUCAGUUAUCAGUUGUUUUUAUAAGAAACAAAUCCACCGUCAAGAUAUUUUUGAUGUCAAAAAAUGUCUCCAAAUCAGUUGCAAUGAAGAAACAAAUGCAUCUACAUCUCGGAUGGCCUGAAGGUGAGUGAAUUUUCAGCAAAUGUUCAAUUUUGGCUAAACUAUACCUUUAAGAAUCAAUACUGUAAAAGAUUUUUGUAUUAAAGGUGCAGUAUACCUUUACAAUACAUUUACUAAAUUUCAUGCCAUUCCAUAUCUGUAAAUGAUUUUAUUUAUUUAUUAUUUAUUCUGUUAAACACACAUUUAUGUAUUUUGAAGAAUGUUGGCGACCAAAAAAGUAUAAAAAAAUAGUAAAAUGAUAUAAAAAAAUUAAGUCAAAGGCUACCAUCAACUUUUACAAAACGUUUGCAAAAAACCUUCAAAUGUUCUUCAAAGGUUUGGAGCAACAUGAGGGUGAGUAAAAACCAUCCUUUAAACAUUGACAUACAUCUAAUAACAUCUAACCUUCACAUUAGGUUUUGCAUGGGUUACGACUAUUUAUAUUGUCAAAUCUAUUUUAUUUUAUUUUAUUUUAUUUCUUUUUAGGUAAGGGAAACAUGUUUGGCUCCUAGGAGUACUGGCAUGGAUUUGAAUAAUCACUUUGGAAAUCCUAAGGGCUUAAAUCACUGGGACACGGCAUCAGGAUAUGAUAACAUUUCCGCCAAAACCCUUGAGGUAUUCGACCAAUCACAACACACUGGAUAACUGUCCAAUCAGAGCACACCUCGCUUUUUUUGAGCGAUGAGCGAAUCGGCCCGUUUCAGGAAGGAGAUGCGAAAAGGAGAAAUAAAAAUGUACAGCAUGUGGAAAAUAAUUGUUUUUUUGAACUUUAAAUCGCAUAAACACAUUGCAUUAUCCCAUAUACACAAAAUAAUGUUCUUUUUAGCAACAUCACAAUCCCUUAAAUUAAAAAGCCACAGCAAAGAAAAACAAAUACUAUUGGAUGCAGUGGAUGCCAGCAACAUUUGGCUAGCUGCAUAUUGUCUGUUGUGUUCAAUAGAAGAAAGUAAAUGAUGACCUUUUUAGUGAAUUAUCCCUUUAAGGAAAGCAUAACCUCUUAAAGUUUGUAGGUGAUCUGCCUUCAGGGACUCAAGUGUAAACAGUGAAAGUGGGAGGCUGAGAACAUUUUGUACAUGAACUGAAUGAAUAGGAAUAACAGUUUCAACAUUGUGUCUAAGAUUUGAAAAGUCAGCAGGACAUCUCUUCCUGCGUCAACCGCAAACAAGUUCCCAAAACCCCUCUGAAACCAGCCUGGCCAGAUGCACGUGUGUGGCAUUAAAUAUGGAACUAAAACAGCACAGAGAGCACAGAAAACAUCACCCACCUGAUACUUUCUUUGUAGAUUAUUUUUCUACCGUUGAAGAAGGAGGUGGAAAAAUCGUGACCCAAACAGAACCUCAAACAGCCCUUCACUUUCAAAGGUUUCAGGACGUUUUUGAAAGGACCGCUGUCUAUGUAACCCCUCAAAACCUCUGACAGUAGAGGAAGUGACUUCAGCGGCACCAGUUAGUAAGCUCUCUUGGUUUUCAGUGACCAAACAUACCUUCACAGGCUCUGAUUGUUCUAUGGUCCAAAACAAGCUAAUUUGAAACCGGGAAAAUCAGGUAAUUCUUUCAUAAAUAUCACAGCAUUUCCAACACUGAGUCUGCACUCAUGUGAACUCAAAUAGUCUUUUGGUGGGAAGAACUGGAGGUGUUCCUCUCAGAUUCCUCUGAACACUAGUGUCCACAAGCGUUAUAUGGUGAUUGCAGCUUGGCAAACAUGAGGACAAUACUCAGUAUUCUUCCUGCGACCAUGUGCUCUCCACAUGUGACAUCAUGCCCACAAAACACAAAAAGACUUCAUUCAGAAAGCUUGAUGUCAAAUAGUGGCUAUUUCACUUAACUGAAUGAUUGUUCAAACAGACCAAGUGUAAGAUCCAGCCCUAAGGGAAACACAGUCAGCCUCUCUGUAAGCAGUCAAUAAAGGGUCAGAUGUGUUAGAGAGGAGUAUGGCACUGGAUCAAGUAGCAGAUGUUCACAGGGAACACACAUAAUGCAUGCACACCUUGAAUUCUCUGCAAGUCACUUUGGAUAAAACCCACAAAUGUAAAUGUAGUCACACGUUAUUUUGAGAUCCAGUUCUUGCUAUUAACAAACUAUUAACGUUUGCCUCAAUAAACUCAAUAAAUAGUUAAGGUUACUUAUUGGGUAGCUUUAGGAAUGUAGAAUAUGGUCAUGCAGAAUUUCUGCGAUAUAAGCGCAAAUAGACAACAAAUAUGUUAAUAAUAGGCACUUUAAUAAGCAAAUAGGUAAUUGUCAGAAUUGGUUCCUGUACUAGUGUUACCAUAAAUUUAGAACUCUAUUCCAAAACCUACACUACAAAAUAAUAAAAAGACAAUGACUUAAAAAAAAAACAUAUAUAUAAAAAAAACACCAACCACAAUAAAAUACAUUUAUUUAAGAAACAACACUGCGUAAGAAUGAGGACAUUUUUUUAAAAAAAACAAAAUUAUGUAUUAGUGGAGUUUUUUUGUACUACAUACAAUUCAGAUAAUCUUUUCUUCUCUAUUGUGACGUAUAUUCGAGUGAAGUCAGACUUGACUUUGACCUAACAUAGUUGGGACAUGUCAGGAAUUAAUGGGAUUACUGUCUUUUGCUAACUGAUGUGAUCUUACGAGUGACAGUUUGCUGAAGGUGAGUUAAAAUAAGUCUUACGUGACUUGUUU